AUUUUGGACAAUGGGGGAAACCCUGAUCCAGCCAUCCCGCGUGUAUGAUGAAGGCCUUCGGGUUGUAAAGUACUUUUGGCAGAGAAGAAAAGGUACCUCCUAAUACGUGAUACUGCUGACGGUAUCCGCAGUAUAAGCAUCGGCUACAUACGUACCAGCAGCCGCGGUAAUACGUAGGGUCCAAGGGUUACCCGGAAUUACUGGGCGUAAAGCGUGUGUAGGCUGUUCGGAAAGAAAGAUGUGAAAACCCAGGGCUCAACCUUGGAACUGCAUUUUUAACUGCCGAGCUAGAGUAUGUCAGAGGGGGGUAGAAUUCCACGUGUAGCAGUGAAAUGCGUAGAUAUGUGGAGGAAUACCGAUGGCGAAGGCAGCCCCCUGGGAUAAUACUGACGCUCAGACACGAAAGCGUGGGGAGCAAACA
rnacentral:rRNA from 1 species